rnacentral:lncRNA from 1 species
GGCAGUCCCAGAGCGGUGGGGUUAGCAGGAGCAAGGCUGGCCAAACUUCGGGGAAUUCGGGUGAGGCGAGAGGGGAGGAAGUUUGGGGGCCCCCUGAAGGCUGGCGGUUUGGGGUUCCCCAGGGGAACACUGAUCCUCUGGCGCCGAGCUCGCACCGGAGAGGUCAGGCCAGUUGCUGGGAGAAGGGAUAGGGGCCCUGCCCGGUCCCACCCGCGCCGGGCUAAAAUCGGGCGGGGCCGACUGGAGAGGCAGGGACGCCGGUGGCCGGGCGGGGUCUGCGCCCUUCUCCCCGCCCGGCGGAGCGCGGCCUGCGAGGCUCGGGGCCAGGCCCGACAGGAGGGAACUCGGUCCCUGGGCUGGGCACUGUGCGCCUGCGGCUCCUGCCCUCCCGGCGGCUGCGGGCGCGCCGGCCCCCGCGCCCCCAGGGGCCGGGCCGGGGCGGGGGCUGGGCCCCGCGGGCGGGCGGGCGGGCGCGCGGGGGGUGGGGGGCGGCGGCGAAGGCUGCGCCGCUCUAACAGGUGGGAUCCCGCGGCGUGGUGGAGGCGGGCGCGGGAGGAAGAGGAGGAGGAGGAAGAGCAGCGGCAGCGGGAGCCCGAGCAGGAGCAGGAUGAGCCGCGCGAGCUGACAGCCGCCGCCGCCGCCCGCGCCCGAGCUCGGUCUCGCUCCCCGCGCCCGGGGCCGCUCCCCGCCUCCCGCCUCCCCCGGCCGCCCGCGGGGCGGCCCGCCCCCUCUGCACCUCCGGGCCCGGAGCUGCCUCCAUCGCUCCUGCAUCCCGGCCGGGGGGGAGGAGGAGGCGGAGCAGGAGGCGAGCCGGAGCCGCCGCCGCCAACGCCGCCGCCGCCGCCCGAGCAGGACAGAGCGCGCCGCAGCCCCGCGCGUCCGGCCGCCGCCCGUGCCCAUCAAGCCUCCGCGCCGGAGCCACACCGCGGGACAGCCGGGGCCGCGGCGCGCCCCGGCUUGGCUCGGCCCAGCCCAGCCCAGUCCCGGCACCGGGCGGCCCGGCGGCCGGCCCGCCCCCGA